ACAAAUUUGUAAAAAAGUGUUUUAGACUUUUUUUAGACUUAAACUGCCUACUCUGCCUUUAAUAUUCGCAUCCAGGGGCUCGCCCACAGCAUAUACCAGGUUGUAAAAAUAACUGGCACCCACAGCCUUUCGUUCUCCCAUGACAAGGUUGGUGGGGGCGGGGGUUUCGGACAAUACACACACAGCACCACACUGCACCACUUCAAAGUGUAUUUCCACAGCAAACACAGACUCACCCACAGCACUCAAUGUGAACACUUAGGACGCCCCUGUCUUCCUCCACUUCACCGGAGCCCGUUAGGCGAUGGUCAGUACGGACCAGUAACGUCCACGUCGCUGCAGCGAGCCCACUCGUCUUCCUCCGGCUCUCCCACCACUCUGCUCCGUGGCAGGGCCGUCACUCCUUUCACUGGAGUCUUUCAAAACAGAACGAGUUAACACAGAGUGUGACCAAUUUAAUAUUGCAUACUCAGUCGCUGUACAAUUCUUUCCGAUGUUCUCCUCUUUCUACACACAGGGAAAUAAUUCCAGCAAUACACGACAAGAUGUUUCUUCCUGAUGACAGUAGUACACAGUAGUUCCGUUGGCUUCUAAGUUCUUCAUAUGAGGUAACCACUCACUGUAACUCCGCUUCUCCUUCUUCUGUUUCAUUUCAGUCCCAGCGAUUUCCUACCGUCUCCCAGCUACUACGGGGUACAGAUCUGUCCUCCUCAACACCGCUACGGUUUGUUCGUCCCCACACAGCCACGCCAGCUCAGCCUGAAUAACAGCAGCGAACCAGUACUACCAGCAACAACAAACUCUGUGUUUUUAGACUAUCUUUUAUACUCCCCUUUUCCUCGUAUCCUCCAAUCCCCAGCCGCUAAUGUUAACAAGACGCACCUGUGCUUAAUCGGCUUGUUUACGUCCCGCGGCGUUUACCGGAAGAUCCGGUGUAUCUACUCUUCCGUCCGGGCGGAAACACUUCUGGGCGGAACCAAACUCUCCUAUUUUUGCUUCCGCUCCCGGAAAGAUCGUCACCGUGUGACAAUAUAGCUAUUUAACAAAAGCAAUAAAUAUCUUAUAAAUUCAUGUUUUACUGUUAAAAAGAAUCUGAAGGAUAGAUUAAAAAAUGUACUGUCUUAAUAUAGUUUUUUAACAAAAGUGAAGUUUAAUAUAAAUAACACGUUGCACUUUUAAUGGGACAUAGAAAAUGAGUUUCCAAAUUACGAUUUAAAAAUAAUUUAAAGGCAUUUUAAAUUCAAUAUGAUGUGUUGCAAUUCCAGAGAUGUUUAUGUAAAUGAAGACUUUGCCAUGUUUUAAUUUGUGUGCUGUGCAUACUGAGCAUGUGUGGCCCUUUAAAACACUGGAGCAGAGGGAGUUACCAUGGAAACAAGGUGGGACCAGGAACUAAAAAGCAGCAUAGAUCUGUCUCUGAGUUUUCUUCACCGUUUACAGGACUGACAAAAUAACCCUUCUAUAAUACAAGUGAAGUACAAGAACAAGAUUUCACAAUUUCUCAAGGGAGCUGCUGUCAAAGAUGCUAAAAACUUUGGAUACCCAUCCAUCCUAAGGUAAUUAGAGCCUCACUUGUGAAGACUUCAAAUGAAGCCAAAGACUUGAUGAUGGCAACUAUAGAUGAUGCCAACACUGAAGAUUCCAGUAAAAAUUUGAAAGACUCCAGUCUUAAGUGGAAGUGAAAUAAAAGAAAGUGAGAAGCUUUGUCAAGUAUGCAAUGCAUACUCGAAAUGUGACCUCUGCAUUUAACCCAUCCCAGUGAGAACUGCAUGUCGUGAACACACACGCUUUCGGAGGAGUGGGCAGCUAUCCCAGUGCCCGGGGAGCAAUUAGGGUAAGGAGCCUUGCUCAAGGGCACCACAGUUGCAAACCACUAGGCAAAAACUGUCACAUUAGCCUUCAGAGAUCAUUCAGAUACUGAUUUAGUGCUCUAGAGACAUUUCUGUUGUGUUGCUUUAUGUGUUAUUAUCACUAUAGAUUAUGCCAGAUUUCAAAUGAUGGCAACUAAAGAUAGACAUACAAAACAUUGAAAUCACUGCCUCAAAGUGUACGUUUGCAGAUUUCCAACCCACUUCAUAUUGUUACAAUAAAUGGUAAUAUUUAAAGGCGGAGUCCACGAUGUUUGAAAGGCAUUGUUGAUAUUUGAAAUCACCUAAACAAACACGCCCCUACCCCAAUAGAAUCUGGACCUUCUAUUGAUAGACCCGCCCCACACAUACGCAACCCGGCAAGGAUGUGGGUUAGUAGACACACUCCUUACUGCUGAUUGGCUAUAAGUGUGUUUUGGUAGUCGGCCCGUCUCCUUUUCCAAAGCGUUUUUUAAACAUCGUGGACUCCGCUUUGAAACGGACAAUGAUUACUUUUUAUUGUUCAGUUACAGUAUACUCCCAUUUAUUGCCAAUCAUUGGAUUUGCAGCAUCCAAAUAUUUUUAUAUUUACAUUACAGAUAUUGUAAGAAUACAAAGUGGUAUAAAAAUCUGCAAUGUUACCCUAUAAUAAUUGUCUGUUUAACUGAGCAUGCCUGAACUUAGAGCUAUUGUGAUUUAACUUUGUUCCCAGAUAGUCCUGAAUGAGUCACACUCACCUCUGGCUGAUUGAGGGAUUUUGUGUAACCUUCAAACAUGCAUUUUCUGUAAAGCUGCUUUGAAAUGACAUGUAUUGUGUAAAGUACUAUACCCUGGCAUGGUUGGUAAAACUGCAGUUCUUUUUUCAAAAUGAUUGUUCUAUUAUAGUAAUGCUGAUAUAAAGCUGUGGCAACCAUAUUUUUAAAAACCAUGUUAAAGUUUGUAUAGUUACUAGUAAUGUAGUAAGAUUGUUAUUUUAAAGUUACUGUUGAUUUCAAGGCGUGGUUUUUGUAGAUUUUGUUUAUACCUGCAAAUGAUGUAAACAGUAACUAAAGGUACAGAUACAUGCAAACUGAAUGAUUUUAUUUGUAAGUCAACGUUGCAUCUGAUAAAUGUAAAUGCAUUUAGGCUAUAGAUUCUGUUUACUGGCAAUAAUAAAAUGUGC